AGAGUUUGAUCAUGGCUCAGGACGAACGCUGGCGGCGCGCCUCAUACAUGCAAGUCGAGCGAGAACCGGGCUUCGGCCCGGGGAGAGCGGCGAACGGGUGCGUAUCACGUGAGCAACCUGCCUCAGAGACCGGGAUAACUCGAGGAAACUCGGGCUAAUACCGGAUGCCCUCGGUGGAUCGCAUGGUCCGGCGAGGAAAUGGAUUCCGCUCUGAGAUGGGCUCGCGGCCUAUCAGCUUGUUGGUGGGGUAACGGCCUACCAAGGCGACGACGGGUAGCUGGUCUGAGAGGACGAUCAGCCACACUGGGACUGAGACACGGCCCAGACUCCUACGGGAGGCAGCAGUAGGGAAUCUUGCGCAAUGGGCGAAAGCCUGACGCAGCGACGCCGCGUGCGGGAUGAAGGCCUUCGGGUCGUAAACCGCUUUCAGCAGGGACGAAAUUGACGGUACCUGCAGAAGAAGGCCCGGCCAACUACGUGCCAGCAGCCGCGGUGAUACGUAGGGGUCUAGCGUUGUCCGGAAUCAUUGGGCGUAAAGAGCUCGUAGGCGGUUCGGCAAGUCGGAUGUGAAAUCUCCACGCUCAACGUGGAGGGCCAUUCGAAACUGCCGUGACUCGAGUCCGGUAGGGGAGUGCGGAAUUCCCGGUGUAGCGGUGAAAUGCGCAGAUAUCGGGGGAACACCAGUGGCGAAGGGGCACUCUGGGCCGGAACUGACGCUGAGAGCGAAAGCGUGGGGAGCGAACAGGAUUAGAUACCCCAGUAGUCC
rnacentral:rRNA from 1 species